rnacentral:rRNA from 1 species
UACGAAGGGGGCUAGCGUUGCUCGGAAUCACUGGGCGUAAAGGGCGCGUAGGCGGCCGGCCAAGUCGGGGGUGAAAGCCUGUGGCUCAACCACAGAAUGGCCCUCGAUACUGGACGGCUCGAGACCGGAAGAGGUUGGUGGAAUUGCGAGUGUAGAGGUGAAAUUCGUAGAUAUUCGCAAGAACACCGGUGGCGAAGGCGGCCAACUGGUCCGGAUCUGACGCUGAGGAGCGAAAGCCAGGGGAGCAAACGGG